UCGUUUUUGGAAAAAAAAACU
rnacentral:piRNA from 1 species